rnacentral:rRNA from 1 species
UACGAAGGGGGCUAGCGUUGCUCGGAAUCACUGGGCGUAAAGGGUGCGUAGGCGGGUUUUUAAGUCAGGGGUGAAAUCCUGGAGCUCAACUCCAGAACUGCCUUUGAUACUGAAGAUCUUGAGUCCGGGAGAGGUGAGUGGAACUGCGAGUGUAGAGGUGAAAUUCGUAGAUAUUCGCAAGAACACCAGUGGCGAAGGCGGCUGACUGGACACAUAUUGACGCUGAGGCUCGAAAGCAUGGGGAGCAAACAGG